UGAAUCCCCCAACUUUUCAUGGUUUCCUUACUUAGAGACACUGGAUCUUGGAAAUUGUUCUAGAAUGGUUAAUUUACACAAAUCCAUUGGUGAUCUAAAGUCCUUGGUUACGCUUUCCUUGGAUCUGUACAAAAAUUGAAGAACUCCCA